UUUUGGCGGAUAUGUGCGUUAAGGAUAGUAGCGGCAUCCUUUUUUGUGAUUUGCCUAUGGUUUAAUUUUAGCUCGAACUUUACUUGUGCGCUUAGGUUUAAUAUGAAGGAUGAAACUUGGUUUGAACAAAAAAGAUAUAGCGGAUAGCCUGACCCGUA
rfam:Algibacter lectus DNA, contig: contig00005, strain: JCM 19300.